GGCAAUGGCUGCAUAGUUUUUGUGGCGCUCUUACCCAACAGAGGACAAACAUUUCCCAGGAAAGCUUUGGUCGUGCAGCACCAAGGCACAGAGGCUUUUUGUCGCCAGAGAAAUCACAGGUGUUUUUUCAGAGAGAGCAGCAGGAGGCAUUGCAAGCAGAUCUUUGAUGCUGCGGAUCAGAGAUGGACCCUGGUGAAAACUGGAAGUUGGAUGAAACAAACUGGUUGUCUCAUGGUGGGAUCCACCCCUUUUCCAAUGUGAAAGGAGACAAUGAGCUCUCCGAAGGUGCCCCAGCCCUCUUUGCUCUGGAUCAGCUGGG